rnacentral:tRNA from 28 species
GGGCGGGUGGCGAAAUUGGUAGACGCACCACACUCAAAAUGUGGCGGCCUUAUGGUCAUGAGAGUUCGAGUCUCUCCCCGCCCA